rnacentral:rRNA from 1 species
GACGAACGCUGGCGGCGUGCUUAACACAUGCAAGUCGAACGAAGUGGCGAACGGGUGAGUAACGAGUAAUCAACCUGCCCUUCAGAGGGGGACAACAGUGGGAAACGACUGCUAAUCCCGCAUACUUAGGGGGGGGAUUGCGUCUGAUUAGCUAGUUGGCGGGGUAACGGCCAACCAAGGCGAUGAUCAGUCGUCGGGCUGAGAGGAUGAACGGCCACAUUGGGACUGAGACACGGCCCAGACGCCUACGGGAGGCAGCAGUGGGGAAUCUUCCGCAAUGGACGAAAGUCUGACGGAGCAACGCCGCGUGAGUGAUGACGGCCUUCGGGUUGUAAAGCUCUGUUAAUCGGGACGCGGUACCGGAAUAGAAAGCCACGGCUAACUACGUGCCAGCAGCCGCGGUAAUAG